rnacentral:rRNA from 1 species
CGGACGGGUGAGUAAUGUCUGGGAAACUGCCUGAUGGAGGGGGAUAACUACUGGAAACGGUAGCUAAUACCGCAUAACGUCGCAAGACCUAAAGAGGGGGACCUUAGGGCCUCUUGCCAUCGGAUGUGCCCAGAUGGGAUUAGCUAGUAGGUGGGGUAACGGCUCACCUAGGCGACGAUCCCUAGCUGGUCUGAGAGGAUGACCAGCCACACUGGAACUGAGACACGGUCCAG